GGCGCUGUGAGAGGUCACAGUGGCAAUAGCAGCGUAUUUCCUUUCACCUAUAAACUGACCACCCCUAAAGGUGGUGAAUGUAUGCCAGACGCACGAAUUGGAGCCCUGCAACAUCACAACAGCGGCUGGGACAUUGAAGUCAACGGUCGCUUAGAACAUUGGAUAAGAGCAAAUAAGAAAAGUGAAGAAGUGGAGUGAGGUGUAUUGAAGUGGACUAGUGAUAUGACUGUCAAGUGUAAAAAAGGGAAAAACUGUAAAAGCGAUGUUAACUAUAUUUUUUCUAUGAGUGGUUUUAACUACAUAUACCGAUCUGAAAAAUACAAUGGGUAAAGGUUUAAAUACUUUUUCUUUGUAUCUCAGUCCUCUAAACCAUACUCGUAUAUAUAUUCCUGUUUAUACAGAGAGCGGUCGGAAUAUAAGGAUAUCUAAAAAAAAAAAAAAAAAAAAAA